GCCCGGUUAGCUCAAUCGGUAGAGCGUGAGACUCUUAAUCUCAAGGUUGCGGGUUAGUUACCUCCUUCCAGUCC